CCUGUCACCUGCCAGUGUGCCCCCAGCCGCUCUCCUGCCCGCCCGCUUCCUGCCUUCGCUCCCCCACGGUGGGCCCCGCACCCCCGCACCCCUAAGCCCUGCCCGGCCCCCGUGAGGAAGCAAGAGGCACAGCCCGGAGCCCCGGCCUCCUGUCAACCCGCCGCCCGGGGAGACUGGGGUGGGCUCCGGCCCGGCACCGGCGCCCGUCUCCUCCGACAGCUGAGCUAGGCCUCGUCUGGCCUCCCAAACGACCCCCUCCCCGACGUCCCAGGCCAUUGGACCCCCGGCUCUGCCUUUCUCCUCCUGCCCUGUCCACGUGUUGGCGUCGGGGGCUGGACCUCCGGAGGGGAGGGUGACACCUUCCUCCGGGCCUGGGAGGAGGGAGCGAGCUGGUCACGGGCACCUCCCCUUGCGGCGACGCGGUAAGGAGAGAAGGAAGUCCCUUCUCGCGGAGCUCUCAUUGCAGCCGGCGACAGACAAGAAACAGGACAGCGGCAAACAGUGACGACGCCCGGCGGGGACAGGCGUCGUGAAGGAAGCAGCAGAGGAAGCUGAGACGGGCUGGCGGCGGAGGGGAGACCGGACGGAGACCACCCCGAGCUCCAGCUCCGCAAAGGGACCGCGCUGCGAGCGGCCGCACUGCCAAGGACAAAGGCCCUGAGGGGGGAAGAGCUGGGGGGCUCCAGGGACCCCUCCGGGCGGGCCGGGGUGACCUGCCGGAGGCGGAGCGCGGCCCGGGCCGUGAGCCGAGAACCCGCGUGGCCCGGACCCGGACGCGCCCUCUGGCGGCCGUGCGAGGAUCGACCAGGUGGCUCCGCUGCAGGGUCCCGAGCCGAGCUGGCGGCGGAAGGUGUAUAUUUCGUAGCGUCUAAACGAUUUGCUGAUGGAUCUAGAACGAUUCCAGGCUCAUUCUUGACAACUUGACAAAUGCAGGUGUCACUUAACCAGGAGCCGGUGACGGUGAUGGAGGGGGGUCUUGGAAUCGAGGUUCCAUCCUGGACAUGGGGUUGAGAAGCCUGUGAGGUAGCAGAGCAUUUGCUAUGAACUGAAUGUUUAUGUUCCAAAAAUUCACCUUGAAACCUGGCCCCCAAGGGGACGGUAUUUGGAGGAGGGGCUUUGGGAAGUGAUCAGGUCACCAGGAUGUGAAUGGAGCCCUCAGAACAGAAUUGGUGCUGGUAUAAAGAGCACCACAGGGUACACUGACAGAAGAGAGCCAUCCCUCGCAGACAGACUCGCCAACACCCUGAUCUUGGACUUCCAGCCCCCAGAACAGCGAGAAGUGAAUUUCUGUUUUUUCCAUUUUGUCAUAGCAGCCUGAACGGACUAAUACAGUGUUGACUGGUUGAUGGAUUGACUGAUUGAAAUGGCAUAAUAUUUGGGAUUUAUUUUACCCCAGCUCUAUUAAGGUACUGACAAAUUAAAAUAGUAUCUAGUUUCAGAGGACGCUAUGAAGUUUUGCUAUAUGUACACACAGUGAGGUGAAAAAUUCAAGCUCAUUAACAUACCAGUCACCUCAUAUUUAGUUCUUUGAUGAUCUAAUCCCUUAGCAAUUUUCAAAUACACAUUUAUAGAAACAUAGUUGCCGUAUGUAUAAUAUAUCCCCAGCCCUCCUCCAGCCUGUCUAAGGGACUUGGUACCAUCCUGGACCACUAUUUCCCCUCCCUCCCCCACUCAGCCCCUGGAAGCCACCUUCUACUUUUUUCCUGUGAGUUCAACUCUUUUCUUCUCUAGAUUCCACAGGUACAAUCACGGGGUUCUCAUCCUGGCUUAUUUCACUUGACCCAAUGUCCUCCAGGUUGAUCCACAUGUUGCAAAGGACAGAUGUCUUUCUUUUUUUAAGGCUGAAUAGUAUUCCACUGUGCACUAUGGACCACAUUCUCUUCCUUCAGUCUUCAGUGGAUGGCCACUUAGGUUACUGCCACAUCUUGGCCACGGUGGACAGUGCAGCUGUGACCACGGGGGGGCAGAUGUCUCUCUGACAUACUGAUGUCAUUUUCUUUAGGAUACAACCCAGGUGUGGAAUUGCUGCAUCACAUGGGAAUUCUAUUUUCAAUUUGAGGAACCUCCAUACUAUUUCCUGUGACAGCUGUACCAGUUCACACUCCCACCAACAGUGCCCAAGGCUCCCCUUUCCUCCACAUCCUUCAGCCCAUUUGUUACAUUGUAUCAAUUUAGUAAUCGCCAUUCUAAUAGGUGAAGGGCUCUCCCAUUGUGCUCAACCACUGAGCCGUGUCCCCAGCCCCUUUUUGUAUUUUAUUUAGAGACAGGGUCUCCUUGAGUUGCUUAGAGCCUGUUGCUGAGGCUGGCUUUGAACUGGAGAUCCUCCUGCCUCAGCCUCCUGAGCCCCUGGGAUGACAGGCGGGCGCCCCCGCGGCGGCCUGUCUAUUCAGUCUUUCUCCUCUGCGGCUGGACUGUGAGGCUUGUAUAUGUGGAUAUUAACCCCGGGUUUGCAGCACCCUCUCCUGUUCCACAGGUGGCCUCUCUGUCGGCUCUUCCCUUUGCCUGCUCAGACCAAGGCCGCAAGCCUUCCUCCUGUUUUCUUCCAGCGGCUUUCCACAUUUAAGUCUGCCAUCCACUGGAGCCCAUUGUUGUGCAUCACCAGAGGUGAGUUCCCGUGUCACCUGCAUGUGGAGACCAGCUUCCCAAUCACUGAAGAGACCCUGUCCUGUGUUGUUGGCAACUUUGUUGAAAACCAAUUAACUGCAAAUGCACGGACUUACUCCCAGGCCCCCGCUGUGCUCUGUUGGCCCUUGGGUGGGGUUUUAAGGCCAUGCUUCCGUGACAGUGGCUCUGCAGGGUGUGGAAGUCAGGUAGGCUGAGGCCUCCAGCUUGGCUCGUGCUGCUCAGAACUGCUCUGGCUGAUUGGGAGGUGGUGGGCCCUUGAGAAGUGAGGCUUUGUGGGAGGUUUUAGAUGUGGAUUAAAAGGGAUGGUGGGACCCCAGCCCCCAUCAAAGCCCCAAAGUAAUGAAACCACCUGAUCUUGGACUGGAAUCUCCAGAACUGGAAGCCAAACCAAACCUUUUCUUUUCAUAAAUUGAUUGCCUCAGGUAUUUUGUUAUAGUUACACAAACCUCACUAAAUACAGUCACCGAGGGAAGGAAUGGCAGCCUGAGAGGCUGGAGGGCUGAAGAUGCUGGCCCUGUGGCCUCCCGCAGGCUGCCUCUCUCUGUGCCUUGAGCUGGCUGUCCAGGGCCUUCCUAAUACAACCAGCCCCCACAUACCAGACCUGAGGCCCUGCGAAGGCAGGAGGCAGGAUGCUUCCUGCUGCACACCUGUUGCCCAGAGUUUGAAACGUCUGGAAGUAUAUCCAUGUCUCCUCCAGACUUCCCAGCCCUGCCCUCAGCCCCCCACCUUACCCAGCUUACUGGCCACACACCCAGGUCCACCCUUCCCGGCCCUUCCUCUCCACCCCCAGCCAGGAGCCCAUUCCCAGGUCACCCUUCCUGCACCAGUCACCCAGCGCACCCUUCCUGCUUACUUCUUUGCCUGCCCAACCACAGGCUGACUGGUCCCUGCCCUGGAAUCCAGACCUGCAGACUCCCCGCGCACCCGGGCUGCCUGCCCACGUGGCUGGAGGAAGUACCGCGGCCACCUCCCCCUUCCGCCUCGGCAAGGCCCUCGCUGACCCCCAGGGGGCGCUCUCCCACCCCGCCCACCGGUUCCCUCCUGCAGAGCAGACGGGCUCCCUCCGUCCAAACCCUUCCCAGGAGCCUCCAGCUUCCUUCCUCUCCCACUCAGGGCCGAGCAGGCUGGGUUCACAUCCGCCGCCUCCUCUCACCGGCUGUGGGGCCACAACAAGCGGCUUCACCUCUCACCUGCGCUGACCGCGGCACCUCCCCAAGGAGCUGAGAUGACGUGGGACACCCAGAAGGAGCCCGGCAAGUCCCAGGCGCUUGCGAACGGCCAGGCUGCCGUUGGCCUGAGUCUCUUUUCCCUUUUCAUCUUUAAUCUCUCUCCCCUUCUCUAGGGGGCUGCUCUGCUCUUUCUCCAAUAUCUUCGACUUUUUUUGGGGGGGGCUGCCCCUCACACACAGGCUCUCCCAUUGCCUUAGCCCUUUUCUGUUACUAUAAUGAAAUAACUG
rnacentral:lncRNA from 1 species